GGCGCGGCUGCUGCUGCCGCCGCUUCUGCUGCGCCUCCGCCGCCGCCUCCUCCUGCUCCUCCUCGGCCGUCCCUUCCCCUUUCCACCCUCCGCAACCCGGGCCGAUGCGCGGGCGCUUUCAGUUCGGGCUGCUCUGCUCCUUCCGACGGCGGCGGCGAGGCGGCAGGCGUGGCGCGCCUCGGCGAUGGUGUGAAGCGCAGCCCCGGAGCGGCGGCGGCGAUGGCAACGGCGAGGCGCGUCUUCCACCUCCAGCCAUGCGGUGAGUGCCUGCUUUUGCCGGGGCGGGCGGAGACGGAGGCAGGAAGGAGCUCGGGCAGCCGCAGCAGCCGGCGAAGGUGCCCCUCGCCCGACGGGGUCACGGGCCAGCUGUUGCAGCUCGCUUGCAAAGUUGCAGCUCCUCCCCGGAGCGCCUUUUGCAACUGCGCGCUCCGUCCGGUUUCUGGCGGCAAGCACUCCCAGCUCUUCAUAAAAAAAGAGGGCUGACGGUUCCCCCCGCUUCCGCAACUUUGGGAAGACUUCCUCACCCCCUGAAAAGCCCACAAAACCGUCUCCCUCCAGUUUGGCUUUUGUACGGCUUGCUGUCGUGCUCUGCAAAGUUUUUGCAAACCAGCGAACGAGCCGAGCUCGCUUUGCGCACGCAGAAGGGGAAGCAAAAGGGAAGCGGCCCUUUUUUGACAGGAGGAUGGAGGGGAAUUUAAACAAAAGGGAGGGCAGGUUUCGCUGCGCGUAAACAACUCCGAGCAAGAAGGCAGAUCCUGUACUGGCCCGUGUCAAGGUGUUUUUUUUGCGGCUUGGGGAAGGGCCACAUACAAAAAUUAAAGGGUUUGGGGGCGCUUCUUCUUGGCCAGCCGCAACUCCCCAAAGAUCUGCGGAGCGAGCACCGAGCUCUCCUUUUUGCUCCUAGCUUAAGGGAACAAGAGGUUUGAAGCCUUUGUCAAAUACUGGGUUUUCAAGCUAUUGUUAGUGAAAAGGGAGUGCUGUUUUGGCAACAUCCAGCGGUAUUUUCUGUACUUGACUUUUUGAAGACAAAACAAAACAUAAUGGGCUUUAGUUGCUGCAAUUGCUCUUGUUGAAAUAAGGUAGUUGAUGGUCUUCGAGUUAUUUGCAAGCGAAACAGAGGCAGUGGAUGUUGUGCAAUUCAGUUUGGUUUUGGUUUUUAAAGCGGUUGUCAGCACUUCCUUGAGUCUUUUGUUUUGUUUUUUUUGAGGUUGCUGGGUUUUCCCCCCUUCUCUUCUCUCCUCCCUCGCCUCCCUUUCCUUAGAAGCAAAGUGACUCCGGUAUAAUCUUGUGGGGGGGAACUUCUCCAGCGUUUGGCCAUUGGAGGGAACGGGGCGAUUCUUAUCCCUACUUUUGCAGGAUGCACAAAUCUCAUUCAUUCCCUUUUCUGGCUUUCUGGUUGCUUUGCUCCUCAGCAAAAAGAGCUGUAGGUGGCAGAGCAGUUCAGCUCAUUGGGGACUCACAAAUCUUGACCGCUGCAAGCAUUUCCUGUAAGGUGUCCAGUCCCGGGAUGUGUGCGGCUGACCAAUAUAUGAGUUGCAAAAGGUGCCAUUAACUCUGCGAGGUCCUUUCCAAACAAGUGCACCUGUUCUCUUUUUAUAGCUAUAUUCUUUGUCUCUUGUUACUAGAAUUACCUGUCCUGGGGUAGCCACAAUAUCGGAACCCAAGUGGACUUCUGGGAUUAUCCAGCUGAGUAUAAAGACAAGUGUUUGUGUUGAUGAUGGUCAACGCUAAUUAUCUGAUAGCCUUUGAUGUUUGCAGCUUCUCGUGCCUCAUGUGAAACUGUCAGCUUCUCCAGAUUGUUGUAUUCUGCAGCUCCUAAACAAGAUGAGGGUUUGAGCCAAUGAGUCUCAAAGCCUUGCUGAAUUAGGGAUUUCCCCCGCAUGUGAAGACAGGUUCUGUUGUUGUGAGUGGAUGAGAAUGGUAGUGGGUCCAAUGGUCAAGAAGGCGGUUUUUGCACUUGCUGUAGUAGAGGGAAGUGAGGGGCAGGUGGGGCUCGUACACCUGGGAAGGAAGCCCUUCUAGGAGAAGGAAAGCUCUGGUCCUAAACCUCCGCUGUCUUGUGGGAUAGCUUCGGGAGACGAAAAGGCUAAGGCAGAGAUUUCCAAACUUUUCACGUUGGUGACACACUUUUUAGACAUGCAUCAUUUUGCGACACAGUGGGGAGCGUCUGUGUGACACACCUAGGCACUGCCGCUGACGCACUAAUGUGUCUUGAGACACAGUUUGGAAUGCUCUGAGCUAAGAAGUACAGAGGUGCCUUGGUUCUCGAACGGCUUAGUUGUCGAACAAAUUGGCUCCCGAAUGGCGCAAACCCUGAAAUAAGUGUUCCGGUUUAUGAAUGUUUUUCGGAAGCCAAACAUCUGACGUGGCUUCCACUUAGCAAGCUCCUGCAGCCAAUCAGAAGGCAUGCCUUGGUUUUCGAACGGUUUUGGGAGUUGAACAGACUCCCAGAACAUAUUAAGUUCGAGAACCAAGGUACCACUGUGAACCCUACACAAAUCCAGAGUGAGGUCCCUAAGACAGUUGGAUGGCGCCUUGUACUCCUCCUUCUGGCAACUGCUGCAACUAAGUUGGUACAGCUUGCUCUGCUUUCCUUUGUACCACAGCAGUGAGGCCGAGGGGGGGUCUUGUCACCUGGGCAGCCCAGGACCUCCAGUCACACUCCAUACAUUGCAGGGGGUUGGACUAUUACUAUUAUUUAUUAACUUUGUAUACCGCCCUUCAUCUGAAGGGCAAGCCAGUGUGGCAUAAUGGUUAUCGUGUGUUGGACUAGGACAUGGGAGACCAGGGUUCAAAUCCCCACAUGAAGCACACUGGGUGACGUUGGGGUGGUUGCCUUCUCUUAGCCUAAUCCGCCUCGCAGGGGUGUUGUGAAGAUGAAAUGGGGGAGGAGGAGAACCACGUACGCCACCUUGAGCUCCUUGGAAGAAAAAGAUGGUAUACAGAUGUAAUAAAUG